AUAAAGCUGAACGGGCACCAGUGAUGUUUCCUGCUUCCUCUCCACCAGGUGAACCUGUGUUUUGAUCAGUUUGUCUACAAGCUGGCAGACCAGAUCUUUGCUUACUACAAAGCCAUGGCUGGCAGUGUCCUGUUGGAUAAACGUUUUCGAGCUGAGUGUAAGAAUUAUGGCGUCAUCAUUCCGUAUCCACCGUCCAAUCGCUAUGAAACGCUGCUGAAGCAGAGACACGUCCAGCUGUUGGGUAGAUCAAUUGACUUGAACAGACUCAUUACCCAGCGCAUCUCUGCCGCCAUGUAUAAAUCCUUGGACCAGGCUAUCAGCCGCUUUGAGAGUGAGGACCUGACCUCCAUUGUGGAGCUGGAGUGGCUGCUGGAGAUUAACCGGCUCACGCACCGGCUGCUCUGUAAGCAUAUGACGCUGGACAGCUUCGAUGCCAUGUUCCGGGAGGCCAAUCACAAUGUGUCCGCCCCCUAUGGCCGUAUCACCCUGCAUGUCUUCUGGGAACUGAACUUUGACUUUCUCCCCAACUACUGCUACAAUGGGUCCACGAACCGUUUUGUGCGGACUGCCAUUCCUUUC
rnacentral:sRNA from 1 species